GGCAGCUUAGCCCCAGUGAUGUACUGGGCCGUACGCACUACCCUCUGUAGUGCCUUGCGGUCAGAGGCCGAGCAGUACAGUGGAGGCUGCUCUCCAUCUCACUCUGUUCUGGGCAGUAUUCUUCUUGUCAUUCCACAGUACAGUGGAGGCUGCUCUCCAUCUCACUCUGUUUUGGGCAGUAUUCUUCUUCUCAUUCCACAGUACAGUGGAGGCUGCUCUCCAUCUCACUCUGGGCAGUAUUCUUCUUCUCUUUCCACAGUACAGUGGAGGCUGCUCUCAAUCACACUGUUCUGGGCAGUAUUCUUCUCAAUCCACAGUACAGUGGAGGCUGCUGAGGGGAGAAGGGCCUAUAAUAAUGGCUGCAUGGAAUGUCAUCAAACCAUGUGUUUGAUGUAUUUGAGACCAUUCCACCUAUUCCGCUCCAGGCAUUACCACGAGCCCGUCCUCCACAAUUAAGGUGCCACCAACCUCCUGUGGUUCCACCUCAUGCUGGUUUUCCUUGUAUCUUCCUUCAUCUCUCACCUCCAGGUGUUAAUUCAGUAUACGCUUUUCCCUUGUGGGUUCCAGGAUACAGCUUGCCUGGUGAUGUUGGAAAGGGGGUGUUCGGAGGGUGUGGCCGAUCCACCACCACUUCUUCUCCGGAUCUUCUUUUCCACCAGUACAUGGCUAGCACGCUCCUUGUUCCCAUAAGCCUGCUACAACACAUUGGUGUCCACAGUUAUAACAUAUACUGUAAUUACAACAUAUUCUAGAAACGCAUGAUAAGAGAACAUCCGUGCAGAAUCAUUUUGGCCUGAUACUCAUAGAGUUGAUACGCAUGAAGAAGUCCAGAGGUCUCAUACCCUCCAUCGUAGGGGCUGGUGGUGGUCCUCUGAAGAGGUCUCAUACCCUCCUUCGUAGGGGCUGGUGGUGGUCCUCUGAAGAGGUCUCAUCACCCUUCCUGGGGUCCACACAGAACAUGAAACAUAACAUAAUACACAACAUAGACAAGAACAGUUCAAGGACAGAACUACAUACAUUUAAAAACAGCACACAUAGCCUACAUAUCAAUACAUUCAAAAUAUAUAGGUAAAAUAGGGAGGAAUAAGUUGAUCAUUAGCUAAAAUGUUUGUUGUCUGGGAUGAGAUUUGAACUCUCAACAUUUGGGUUGCUAGACUUUUAUGUUAUACACCCACCCAUCCAGCUACCCUAUUUUCAUGGUUGCUGUAAUUAUGACAUGG
rnacentral:lncRNA from 1 species